AGAGGCACCCAUCCUCGUAAAGGCGCUGUGGUAUCUAUCGAACUAUCUUUCUCACCGCGGCUCGAGCAAUCCGAUUCCAGGGAAUCUUCAAUUGAGGCGUUGACUUAGAUUCCAUUCUCUUUUGUUUAGUUAUAGAGGCUCAUCUUUCAUUGAUAGGAAUGUAGGUAACCGCACUAGGCAUUCCAAACUUUUUUGCACAAGAGUAGCAAUUAUCCGUCUAUCCCGGGGAUAGGAACAGUCAGAUGAGACCUGCUAUUCAUCGGCGAAUUACUCCACCGGGAUAUCAGAUGUUGAAUAAUUGCCCGCUCUUGGUCCGUCUACGAAGGGGUAAGAAAGGAGAACAAAGCAGACUUGCCCGAUUAGUACUAA
rnacentral:lncRNA from 1 species